rnacentral:rRNA from 1 species
UACGUAGGCAGCGAGCGUUGUUCGGAGUUACUGGGCGUAAAGGGUGUGUAGGCGGUUUUCUAAGUUUGGUGUGAAAUCUCCCGGCUCAACCGGGAGGGUGCGCCGAAAACUGGGAGACUAGAGUGCGGGAUGGGAGAGUAGAAUUCCUGGUGUAGCGGUGAAAUGCGCAGAUAUCAGGAGGAACACCGGUGGCGAAGGCGGGUCUCUGGGCCGUAACUGACGCUGAGGAGCGAAAGCGUGGGGAGCGAACAGG